UGCAGUCGAGCGGUAAGGCCCUUCGGGGUACACGAGCGGCGAACGGGUGAGUAACACGUGAGCAACCUGCCCCUGACUCCGGGAUAAGCGGUGGAAACGCCGUCUAAUACCGGAUACGACCCGCCACCUCAUGGUGGAGGGUGGAAAGUUUUAUCGGUCAGGGAUGGGCUCGCGGCCUAUCAGCUUGUUGGUGGGGUAACGGCCUACCAAGGCGAUUACGGGUAGCCGGCCUGAGAGGGCGACCGGCCACACUGGGACUGAGACACGGCCCAGACUCCUGCGGGAGGCAGCAGUGGGGAAUAUUGCACAAUGGGCGAAAGCCUGAUGCAGCGACGCCGCGUGGGGGAUGACGGCCUUCGGGUUGUAAACCUCUUUUACCACCAACGCAGGCUCCACGUUCUCGUGGGGUUGACGGUAGGUGGGGAAUAAGGACCGGCUAACUACGUGCCAGCAGCCGCGGUAAUACGUAGGGUCCGAGCGUUGUCCGGAAUUAUUGGGCGUAAAGAGCUCGUAGGCGGCAUGUCGCGUCUGCUGUGAAAGACCGGGGCUUAACUCCGGUUCUGCAGUGGAUACGGGCAUGCUAGAGGUAGGUAGGGGAAACUGGAAUUCCUGGUGUAGCGGUGAAAUGCGCAGAUAUCAGGAGGAACACCGGUGGCGAAGGCGGGUUUCUGGGCCUUACCUGACGCUGAGGAGCGAAAGCAUGGGGAGCGAACAGGAUUAGAUACCCUGGUAGUCCAUGCCGUAAACGUUGGGCGCUAGGUGUGGGGACUUUCCACGGUUUCCGCGCCGUAGCUAACGCAUUAAGCGCCCCGCCUGGGGAGUACGGCCGCAAGGCUAAAACUCAAAGGAAUUGACGGGGGCCCGCACAAGCGGCGGAGCAUGUUGCUUAAUUCGACGCAACGCGAAGAACCUUACCAAGGUUUGACAUCACCCGUGGACCUGUAGAGAUACAGGGUCAUUUAGUUGGUGGGUGACAGGUGGUGCAUGGCUGUCGUCAGCUCGUGUCGUGAGAUGUUGGGUUAAGUCCCGCAACGAGCGCAACCCUUGUUCCAUGUUGCCAGCACGUAAUGGUGGGGACUCAUGGGAGACUGCCGGGGUCAACUCGGAGGAAGGUGGGGACGACGUCAAGUCAUCAUGCCCCUUAUGUCUUGGGCUGCAAACAUGCUACAAUGGCCGGUACAAUGGGCGUGCGAUACCGUAAGGUGGAGCGAAUCCCUUAAAGCCGGUCUCAGUUCGGAUUGGGGUCUGCAACUCGACCCCAUGAAGGUGGAGUCGCUAGUAAUCGCGGAUCAGCAACGCCGCGGUGAAUACGUUCCCGGGCCUUGUACACACCGCCCGUCACGUCAUGAAAGUCGGCAACACCCGAAACUUGUGGCCUAACC
rnacentral:rRNA from 1 species